UCGAACUCCUGACCUCAGGUGAUUUGUCUGCCUUGGCCUCCCAAAAUGCUGGAAUUACAGGUGUGAGCCACGGCGCCCAGCCCAUUACCAUCUUUAACAAUAGUCAUGAAUAACUUUUCAUGAAGAAUUCCCAGGAUGGUGAACCACCUGCCACGUGAGCCUGUUCGAUAAUCAGGGAUGAGGGAUCCUUCACAGCAGCCUCUAAGAAACCAGGCGUGUGCCUGUUGGUCUCAAAGUCACCUUCUCUUGGCUCCUCCUCCUUGCUGGGGCCUGGGCGCAGUUCAGCAGCCAGGAGGAAGACGGCUUUGCGUUUGUAAUUUGUGAUUUGUGUGUCCCCUCUCCUUGCUCAGCAUUCUACCCUCAGCUCCUGGUUCACAGCCUGGUCCCCUGGAGCUCCAUAAAUACCUGUUGAGUGAAUGAGAGGAUGGAGGCUCCUGCAGAGAGAGAGGAGUGGAAGGCGUCUUUGGACUUCAGACUUGGCUUUCCUGGCAGAGGCCUCAGGGAGGUACAACAUGGAAACAAAGAUGGCCUUGUCCUGGGCCCUUCCCUCCCCGCCCCACCGUCCUCCUCUGCAUCCCACAGCAGCCUGGGGGGAGGCGGAAAUGGACCCCUUUGUUCUACUUCCAGAGUUCCGCUCCUGCGGGGUGGAGGCCUGGCUGCAGCCCCCUCCUUCCUCUGCCAGUUCUUCCUAAUCCUGAGGGAUUUGCCAAAGCCUUGGAGACCCACACCGUGAGUCUCACUGUGAGGACAGGCCUCACCUCACAGGUAGCCUCAGAGAUGGACAUGGGUGCAGAGAGAAGAGAGGGUCCCCACCUGUUCCCUCCCAGUCCUCUUCUUCCGUGUUCCCAGGGCCUGUCACACAAGACAAACGAAACUGGGAGGCUCUGUCUAUAGUGGAACCCAGUUGUUGCUGGCAAUUUCUCAUUCCUCGGGAUGGCUGAGGCCAUCUCUGUGACUGUCCCCUCAAGACUAGAAGCCAGACACUGUCCACACUUGUGGUGCACACCUGUCUUCCUUGAGCCUUUCAGCAAUAAUCCUCAAUCUGUAAUUACUUCAUUGAUUUAUUGUUCACGAUCCCACGAGAAGGCAGCUCCAUGAAGCCAUCCAGCCAAGCGCUUGCUGAAGGAAUG